rnacentral:rRNA from 2 species
AGCAGCCGCGGUAAUUCCAGCUCCAAUAGCGUAUAUUAAAGUUGUUGCAGUUAAAAAGCUCGUAGUUGAAUUUCGGGACCAAUUUGUUGGUCGUGCCUCGGUACGUACUGGUAUUAUUGGUUUCUCCCUUCUGAAGAACCAUGAUGCCAUUAAUUUGGUGUCGUGGGGAAUCAGGACUGUUACUUUGAAAAAAUUAGAGUGUUUAAAGCAGGCAUACGCUUGAAUACAUUAGCAUGGAAUAAUGAAAUAGGACGUUUGAUUCUAUUUUGUUGGUUUCUAGGAUCGACGUAAUGAUUAAUAGGGAUAGUUGGGGGCAUUAGUAUUCAAUUGUCAGAGGUGAAAUUCUUGGAUUUAUUGAAGACUAACUACUGCGAAAGCAUUUGCCAAGGAUGUUUUCAUUAAUCAAGAACGAAAGUUAGGGGAUCGAAGACGAUCAGAUACCGUCGUAGUCUUAACCAUAAACUAUGCCGACUAGGGAUCGGAUGAUGUUAAUUUUUUAAUGACUCA